rnacentral:rRNA from 1 species
CGGGGUGAGUAAUGUAUGGAGAUCUGCCUGAUGGCGGGGGGUAACUACUGGAAACGGUAGCUAAUACCGCAUAAUGUCUACGGACCAAAGCGGGGGACCUCCGGGCCUCGCGCCAUCAGAUGAACCCAUAUGGGAUUAGCUUGUAGGUAAGGUAACGGCUUACCUAGGCGACGAUCCCUAGCUGGUCUGAGAGGAUGAUCAGCCACACUGGGACUGAGACACGGCCCAG